GGAGAGGUGGCCGAGUGGCUGAAGGCGCGCCCCUGCUAAGGGCGUAGGCGGGUAACUGUCUCGAGGGUUCGAAUCCCUUCCUCUCCGCCA
rnacentral:tRNA from 2 species